CCUACGGGUGGCAGCAGUGAGGAAUAUUGGUCAAUGGGCGCGAGCCUGAACCAGCCAAGUCGCGUGAGGGAUGACGGUCCUACGGAUUGUAAACCUCUUUUGCCGGGGAGCAAGCGUCCGCUCGUGAACGCGCGUCGAGAGUACCCGGAGAAAAAGCACCGGCUAACCCCGUGCCAGCAGCCGCGGUAAUACGGUGGAUGCGAGCGUUAUCCGGAUUUUUUGGGUUUAAAGGGUGCGUGGGUGGUUAAAUAAGGCAACGGUGAAAGUUUGUGGCUCAACCAUAAAAUAGCCGUUGAAACUGGUUGACUUGAGUAUAUUUGAGGUAGGCGGAAUGCGUGGUGUAGCGGUGAAAUGCAUAGAUAUCACGCAGAACUCCGAUUGCGAAGGCAGCUUACUAAACUAUAACUGACACUGAAGCACGAAAGCGUGGGGAUCGAACAGGAUUAGAUACCCUGGUAGUC
rnacentral:rRNA from 1 species